rnacentral:lncRNA from 1 species
UUCCUUUCAUGUUUUAUUUCGUUUUCAUUUUGUUCAUGUUUUCCUUCAUCGUUUUUGGCUUUCGUUUUUGCUUCUGUUGUCGUAGUAUUUUGUUUUUAUUGUUUACCUGUGUGUACAGAGUGAUGAGAAAUUGUUGGACGAAUCCGGGAUCGAUUGUAGUGGAUGAAAGACACUCCCCAUACUUGUUCUGUUAAGGUACCCCGGAAGUUGAUGCAACCAUGAGAAAGUAAAAGUCGGACACAAUUUGGUGACACUGGACCGAGAGAGUGGUAUGGUAGAACCGAAUCGGAAAAGAAACUACAUGACACUAGGAGGCUUCAGAGCUUGUAAGUUUAACCAACAUGGUGAGAAUACAAAGGCCAAACACUAAAUAUCAUCAUGAGAGUUCAUCCAGGUAU